rnacentral:rRNA from 1 species
GACAGAGGAUGCAAGCGUUAUCCGGAAUGAUUGGGCGUAAAGCGUCUGUAGGUGGCUUUUUAAGUCUGCCGUCAAAUCCCAGGGCUUAACCCUGGACAGGCGGUGGAAACUACCAAGCUGGAGUACGGUAGGGGCAGGGGGAAUUUCCGGUGGAGCGGUGAAAUGCGUAGAUAUCGCCUGGAACGCCGAAGGUGAAAACAGUCUGCUGGGGGUGUGCCGACGCUGAGACACGAAAGCCAGGGGAGCGAACGGG